ensembl:snoRNA LOC120100329 small nucleolar RNA SNORD116
GGAUCGAUGAUGAUUUCCAAUAAAACAUUCCUUGGAGAGCUGAACAGAAUGAGUGAAAACUCAAUACCGCUAUUGUCAUCGUGACUGAGGUGC